rfam:Schistosoma mansoni strain Puerto Rico chromosome 6, complete genome
GCCUUCCUGAGGAGUCCCAUAAUAGGACGAAACGGCUGUCCAAUGAAAAU